ensembl:lncRNA
ACUGAGUAUUUUUAGUAUUAAAUAAAAUUUGUAUUUUUUGUCUGCACUGGAAUCAUAUCUCUUGCCUCAUCAGUGGAACGAACCUGAGUUGCCUUCUCGUUAGUGGUGGUUAUAAUUCCCUGGGUGAAAGUCCCAGGGUGGCGUUGUCUGGCCAGUGUCUACAUUCAGUAAUUGUAGCACGUUAGUUUAUCCCCGACCCCUGCGCUCGCCACACUUGUUUUAUGCUUACCGCGUCCGCGAGGUCCGUGCGGCUCCGUGCGGAAAAAUUACGUCAUUUUCGCACCCCGCCCCCUCCGGCGGCCUUUCCGUGCGGAAAAUUUUCGCUCCACACACCUCAACAUUUUUCUAACCAACGCGGACGGAGCCGCACGGAAAAACAUGGCGGAGGGCCAGGACCUACUCGUAGCUGAAGUCUAGAAAUACGUGCACCUAUAUGAUUCAUCUCACAGAGAUCACCGUGGUAACCGGGUUAUGAACUAUUCAUGGUGUGAAAUAAAACUAACUGCUGAAAUGCUUUUAUUUGGUAAAAUGCCGUGUUGUAAGUGGUGUAAACCAUGGCAAACUUCUUCUUCUCUAGUUUAGUACCAGAGUAGACCAGGUGUCGCUGUGUCGAUGUCCACAGCUUGUUAGUGCUUCUUCCAGUGCUGCUCCUCCCUCGCUGUUCUCUCUACUGUAUGCCAUGGUACACAAUGUUUUUUUCCUGGGGAGGGACGAGGACUUAGUGCUAGACUUUAAUCCCCUUUCAUGACCAUGAUGAGUAGUUACCAUUAUUAUUGUUCUGAUUAUGAUGAUUUAUCGUUGUUCUUCUAUAUUACUGAAUGUUUUCCUUUCUUCUGUGUGUUUGAGCUACACUGCCCCCGGCAGUUUGGAAGCAGACUUCUUCUUCCCUAGUUUAUUACUAGAGUAGACCAGGUAGACGUGUGUUAGGGAUACACUGCCCCCUGCAGUUUGGGAGCAGACGCGCACGGCCCGCAAUAGCAUAGCUGCAAGUGUAGCUUCUGAUAGCCGUGCCUUAGCAGCUCCCGAGCAGCCGGGAAGUCAAGGUAGCUGGAUGACAGUUCGUAGGAAACGUAGUCCUAAACUCAACCCGCUGUCCCGGCACACCACAAACCCCUUCACGUUUCUAAUCGUUUUUCCCCACUCAACGACACACCCGCUGAGAAACAAACUCUGAUCAUUGGCAGCUCCAGGGUUGCCACCUUUCAGAAAUUAAAAUAAAGGACGGCCACCACGGCUUCUUGGGGCCACAGUUCAGUAAAGUUGGAAAAAUAUUCACAGAUUCAGACUUCCAGCAUUCCAGCAUUAGAUAUACUUUGUCAAAAGAUAAACAAUGCCUCUUUCCCGUCGUUGUAAGGCAGACAAUGUGCUACAUUGUCUUACUUAUCAAAAGUAGCUGUCUUUCAAGCUGCAGUUUACUGAACUACCACCCAAGGAGUGGUAAUAUUUAAUUUUGAAAAAAGCACUUAGCCUUACUUAAAGCUUUAAGUAUGGAGUCACAGGAGUGUCACAAUAAAAUAUAAAUAAAUAAGGAAAUAAAUGUGGAAAUAUAAAGAGAAAUAAAUAAAUAAAUGUGGAAAUAUAAAGAGAAAUAAAUAAAUAAAUGUGGAAAUAUAAAGAGAAAUAAAUAAUUGUGGAAAUAAAUGUGGAAAUAUAAAGAGAAAUAAAUGAAUAAAUAAAUAAACAUAAAGAGAAAUAAAUAAAUAAAUAUAAAGAGAAAUAAAUAAAUAAAAAGGGAAAUUUUCUCUUUGGUUUUCCCUUUUCUCUUUUUUUCCUUUUAUUUUUCCAGUUUGUCAUUGUCUUUUCCGUUUUGCAUUUGCCUUUUCCUUUUGGCACUCAGUCCAUCAAGUAAAAGCAAAGUCAAAAGCCUUGGCUUGACUUGGUGGACUGAGCUGUCAAUCAAAUGGCUCUGGGCGGGGCUUUCUGUCCAGGGUGAGUAAUCGUACCUGAUCACAGGAUUCCUGCUUGGCGAUAGCUCCUAGCCCGGCUAAACGGAAGUGAUGUUACCUUGGCGCUGAGAGGAAGUGCAGACAACGCAGUUUGCAAAUACACGAACGUGACACUUUCAGCGGAUCAGAGUAGCUGGAUUUCUCAAUGUUUGGACUCUGUAGCGGGAUAUGAAGAAGUCAGUAUCUCAGUUGGUCAGAGAAGAAGCUGACAGGCUGGAUGAGCAAGCACAUCCAAACACCCCGUCGCCGAGACAGUCGGAUUCAACGCUGUUAACAAGAGACCCCAUUGAUGCAACUUCUGGACUGCAUCAUUUGGCCAGUGGAAUCCGAUAGUGAUGAGGACACAAGUCUGGAGGAAAAGUGCCAUAUCUCUGGAUUUCUGAGAGAAUACAUUGAAAAUGCCUCCUCACGAUGUUUUCAGGAACUUCUGAAGUUCUGGCAGGGGUGGAAGGUUCUUCCAAAAGAGCUGCAUGUGGAAAUUGUGCAUGGACAAAUGCCUCAGUCAAGCACAUGCAUGGAGACUCUUCGGCUGCCUUCACGCUAUAAGUCUUAUGAUGUUUUCUGUGAGGCUCUGAACGCAGCAGUCAGUUCUGUUCAAACAGGGUUUGGACUUGUUUAAAGUCACAACUUCAAGUGUUAUGCAGCCAAUUAAUGUUACCAAAAUGCAUAAAAUGUUAAAGCAGAUAUGUUUAGUUGUUUUGACAAUUGUUCUGAUGUGAUGUAAGCUUGUGAGGCAAAUGCAUGCUUCAGGAGAAGGUUCACAACAGUUCUUGUUUUUUCUGCUGCCAGGCUCAAAUUGUUGUGUGUGACAUUUAACAUGUAACAGAAAUGUGGCGGCCAGUGAGUUGUUGCAGGAAGACAGUUUAAAGGUGAGAGUUGAGAGAGUGAAUUAAUGGAGUAGCUUAUUUUUAUGUAAAAGAUUACAAACCUGAACUAUGGUUCAGGUUUGUGCAUUUCUGAACUGUGACAACAAAAUGUUUCCACACUUGGAGAAGACUGUGUUUGGGGAACAGUUGUAAUAUAAAUGUGUGGAAGUUAAAGAAAAGAAUUAUCAGUUCUGUUAAAAAAUGUUUUUUUUAUUGGCACAUUGUUUUAAUGCUUUCAAAUUAUUCAGCAUGCAAUAAAAGCAGUUUUGUAUCCCUUUGUUAUGUCUUGCUUUUUUACAUUUUUGUUUUCACAGGCAUUUAUUUGAAAUUCACAACUUGUCAUAAAAUUAUGCACCAAAAAUUUGCAGCAUUCUUUCAAGUCUUGUUCGACCAUUUCAAACGGUUUCAUUCUGAUCAUGUUAAGGUGAGUUGUGAUAGGCCUAGGUUUGUUGAAAAAUGUUCUUAAGAAUAUUGCUCUCAGCUCUCGUAGGAGGCGGUCGCACUUUUCCUUGCUCCGCUAUCUCUGUUCCUCCCUACCCUCAUGUCUCCCUGCUUGCUGCAUUUCUUCGUCUUCGUCUCGUUUGUCUGACUUGGAGCGAUUGCUUGGCACUGGACCUUUGAAACACCGAUCAUGGAAUUGAUUAACUGGUCUCUCAACGCAAUUGACAAGAUUGUCGCCACAAAGAGCACAGGCCUAGGGGAGCCUACCUGCCCGGAUGGGAGUUUCGCCUCUGGUUACGUGAUCGACGCCUGGGGGAAGUGGAAGGGGAUCAUGUGCCUGGCACCCCUAUCCGUGGAGGACGUGGAAGAUGUUUAUAUAUUUGGAUUUAUGAUGACAGGCCUGCUGAUAAUCGGCUUGUUCACUGGCCUGAGCUUCUGGAAAAUCAGGAAGACCGCAGACAGAAAUGACGUCCAAACUCUGCUGGUCUAUGCAAACGAACGGAUCAUGGCUGCCGAUUCUCGGUAUGACGAACUCAAUCGUAAGAUGAACAAUUUGCUUGGUGUGACUGUUGAUUUGAGUCGCAGAUUGGAAGCCAUUAGGGUGAGAAUCGCUACAGCUGAGGUCUAAAAUUGUUGAUGUAUGCCCGGAAGGUGAAAUUGUUCCUCUCUCCUGACCAAACAAGAAGGAAACUGAUUACAUUCUGGCGCCCCUGGAACAAUAACAAACUCCUCUGGAAGUUUCAUGGCCAAGAGAUAGCUCUCCUAAACCCCCCCCACUUUCCCAAGGACACCUGUUGACUUUUGGACCGGGCCAACCGAGGACGUCUCCAUAGCAACCUUGCUGUGUUAUCGCGCUCCCACCCUCGCGAAUCUGAGACACCGGAGGUCUGAGACGGAAGAAGAUGGGCUACACACAUACACAAACAUUCGGACUCAUGAACUGAGGACUGAGCUAAACAUUCGCACAGACAUUCCCAUAUCCCCCUCCCCCCCGCUUCCACAAGCUUCCCUCGCUAUGCACAGGAGCCAGGAAUCCGUGCACUUGCACAGGAACCGGCUAACUGUGCGGUGCUCCCCCCUCCACCACCCCACAUCCUUAUCCCAACUAUCCUUUUCUAACGUCAUGCUUUGCCUGUUUGUGGGUUUGUUUUUUUAGGUUCCUUCUCAAAUUGAAUUUCCCAACAUUGGAGGUUUCAUUUGGUACAACGAGCCUUUUUUUUCCUUUACCCUUUGCAAUCCCUACCCAGAUCCCAAC